rnacentral:rRNA from 1 species
AUGAACGCUGGCGGCGUGCCUAAUACAUGCAAGUCGAGCGAACGGACGAGAAGCUUGCUUCUCUGAUGUUAGCGGCGGACGGGUGAGUAACACGUGGAUAACCUACCUAUAAGACUGGGAUAACUUCGGGAAACCGGAGCUAAUACCGGAUAAUAUUUUGAACCGCAUGGUUCAAAAGUGAAAGACGGUCUUGCUGUCACUUAUAGAUGGAUCCGCGCUGCAUUAGCUAGUUGGUAAGGUAACGGCUUACCAAGGCAACGAUGCAUAGCCGACCUGAGAGGGUGAUCGGCCACACUGGAACUGAGACACGGUCCAGACUCCUACGGGAGGCAGCAGUAGGGAAUCUUCCGCAAAGGGCGAAAGCCUGACGGAGCAACGCCGCGUGAGUGAUGAAGGCCUUCGGAUCGUAAAACUCUGUUAUUAGGGAAGAACAUAUGUGUAAGUAACUGUGCACAUCUUGACGGUACCUAAUCAGAAAGCCACGGCUAACUACGUG